UUUUUCUCAAAAAAAAUUUUUCUAUCUUAUUGAGUUUUGAAUAAGAGAUUGAUAAAUCUAUUUAUACUAUUUUGAAUCUCUUGAACUAUGAAAGUGUUUUUGAUGAUUUGAUGAUUUAAAUUUGAAUAAAUUUUUUGUCCAAAUCAUAAUUUUGAUUCCUUGAUAUUUACAAAUUAAGAUUUAUUAUGAAUCAAGAUUUUUCAUUAAUCAUUCUC
rnacentral:lncRNA from 1 species